UUUAUCUUCCUCACAAUAUUUCUCUCUCUAAAAACCCAAGAAGAAGAAGAAGAGGGAAAUAGAAGCUUGGGAUUGAAGAAAUCAAGGGUUUUUCAUCAAACUCUUCAAGGAUUCAUCAUCAACGUCAAUGGAAUUGCUUUCAUGAUGUUAUGAUGAUCCUUGAAUCGGUAGGCCUAAGGUCCCAUUCGUUGAGUUGUACUUCUUUUUUUGGGUAAAUCUUUGAUUGAUUCUCUCCAUGCUUUUGGUGAGUCCUCAUGGUUCGAGGAUGGAAGUUUUUCAUUUCUAGUUCCAUCAACUUUUCUUUUAAGACUAUGUUGUAAAGGCUUGUGACCCUUAUUGAUAUUCAAUUUUAUCAUAUGGUAUAUUGAUACAAUGUCUAUACUUUCAUUUGGA